CCUACGGGGGGCAGCAGUGGGGAAUAUUGCACAAUGGGCGCAAGCCUGAUGCAGCCAUGCCGCGUGUGUGAAGAAGGCCUUCGGGUUGUAAAGCACUUUCAGCGGGGAGGAAGGCGGUGAGGUUAAUAACCUCAUCGAUUGACGUUACCCGCAGAAGAAGCACCGGCUAACUCCGUGCCAGCAGCCGCGGUAAUACGGAGGGUGCAAGCGUUAAUCGGAAUUACUGGGCGUAAAGCGCACGCAGGCGGUCUGUCAAGUCGGAUGUGAAAUCCCCGGGCUCAACCUGGGAACUGCAUUCGAAACUGGCAGGCUAGAGUCUUGUAGAGGGGGGUAGAGUUCCAGGUGUAGCGGUGAAAUGCGUAGAGAUCUGGAGGAAUACCGGUGGCGAAGGCGGCCCCCUGGACAAAGACUGACGCUCAGGUGCGAAAGCGUGGGGAGCAAACAGGAUUAGAUACCCGGGUAGUC
rnacentral:rRNA from 1 species